rnacentral:rRNA from 1 species
UACGUAGGGUGCAAGCGUUGUCCGGAAUUACUGGGCGUAAAGCGCACGUAGGCGGCUUUGUAAGUUAGAGGUGAAAGCCCAGGGCUUAACCCUGGAAUUGCCUUUAAGACUGCAUCGCUAGAAUCGUGGAGAGGUGAGUGGAAUUCCGAGUGUAGAGGUGAAAUUCGUAGAUAUUCGGAAGAACACCAGUGGCGAAGGCGCACUC